GAAAUGCGAUAAGUAAUGCGAAUUGCAGAAUUUUAGUGAGUCAUCGAAUCUUUGAACGCACAUUGCGCCCUUUGGUAUUCCGAAGGGCAUGCCUGUUCGAGCGUCAUUAUCAACCCUCAAGCCCUGGCUUGUUGUUGGACCUGAUCGAUAAACACGAUCUGUCCGAAAGACAAUGACGGCGUCUGUGGGACCCUCGGUGCAAUGAGCUUUUAUUAGCACGCACCAGAGUGGUGGUACAGCCCGGUCUCCCCUUUAUUUUUACAAGGUUGACCUCGGAUCAGGUAGGAAUACCCGCUGAACUUAA
rnacentral:misc_RNA from 1 species